UGGGGAAUAUUGCGCAAUGGACGAAAGUCUGACGCAGCAACGCCGCGUGAGUGAGGAAGGCCUUAGGGUUGUAAAGCUCUGUCAAUGUGGAAAAACGGCCUAGAUUCUAAUAGGUUCUAGGUUUGAUGGUACACAUAAAGGAAGCACCGGCUAACUUCGUGCCAGCAGCCGCGGUAAUACGAAGGGUGCGAGCGUUGUUCGGAUUUAUUGGGCGUAAAGCGGGUGCAGGCGGAUGUGCAAGUCAGAUGUGAAAUCUCGGGGCUCAACCCCGAAACUGCGUCUGAAACUGCUCAUCUAGAAUCUCGGAGAGGGAAGGGGAAUUUCGCAUGUAGGAGUAAAAUCCGUAGAGAUGCGAAGGAACACCAGAGGCGAAGGCGCCUUCCUGGACGAGUAUUGACGCUGUAGCCGAAAGCGUGGGGAGCAAACAGG
rnacentral:rRNA from 1 species